AGAAUCAACGCUGGCGGCGUGCCUAACACAUGCAAGUCGAACGAGAAAGUGGAGCAAUCCAUGAGUAAAGUGGCGCACGGGUGAGUAACACGUGACUAACCUACCCUUGAGUGGGGGAUAACCUAGGGAAACCUGGGCUAAUACCGCAUAAUACCUUCGGGUCAAAGGAGCAAUUCGCUUUAGGAGGGGGUCGCGGCCGAUUAGUUAGUUGGCGGGGUAAUGGCCCACCAAGACUGUGAUCGGUAU
rnacentral:rRNA from 1 species